GAGGCUGACAUUCAACUGACUGAGCCACCCAGCACCUGACGACCAUCAUUCCACUUUCCGGCUUUUUGAUUUUGACUACUCUAAGCACCUCAUAAAGCAGGGGCCUGCUAUGGCUGUGUGAGCACAGGCGGAGGCCUCGAGUGUGCUGACCGCCCGGCUGGUGUGGACGCCAGCUUGGGGAGGCCAGCAGGACACAGCAUGACUUCCAGACAAACCUGAAGCUCCUCCUGGGUCCGUCCAGCCAAGGCCAGCCUCUGCGUCCUCCUCAGCUCCUCCAAGGGAGGCAGAGGAAGCCAGAGAGCCUCUACCUACUUCUCAGAAGGGAACACUGAGGCCUGGAGAGGGGCCUCAUCUUGCCUAAAGCCCGCUGUGAAUCAGCCCCAGAGUCCUCUAGCAAGCCACAGGGCACCACACUUCAGCAGCAAGGUUGGCCACAUGCUGUCCGUGGCCUUCAGGGGACACAUCAGGGAGAGGGGGCAACACAGUUUGGAUCAUUUGAAGCCCAGGCUUCCUGUCGCCAUCCCAUAGACCAUGGCGUCAGAGUGCACCGGUCCCUCCAGGUUUUGCCAGGCCACAAAGGCAGGGCUGAGGCUCCCCACCGGCAUCCCCACCUGACUGGCCCACCGGGAGCCCCCUUCUCCAUCCCUCAGGGACCCCCAAAUGGGGUUACAUGAGUCUCUGACUUCUCAAACCAGCCCUGGGCACCACGCUGCAGUGCGUGUCUUUGAGCUGGCAGAAGGUUCUGGACAUUGGCCCAAGGAUGGUAACAGCAACGACAAUAACAGUGAGUCCAUA